GGGGAUUUAGCUCAGUGGUAGAGCGCUUGCCUAGAGUGCUUGCCUAGCAAGCACAAGGCCCUGGGUUCGGUCCCCAGCUCCG
rnacentral:tRNA from 1 species